rnacentral:rRNA from 1 species
AGAGAUGUGUGAUGACGCAUAUCAAUAAGCGGAGGAAAAGAAACUAACAAGGAUUCCCUUAGCAACGGCGAGUGAAGCGGGAAGAGCUCAAAUUUGAAAUCUUCAAGGCUUUACCUUGACGAAUUGUAGUUUAAAGAAGUGUUUUCUGUUGGAGUUUUGGUAAAAGUUCUUUGGAAUAGGACAUCAUAGAGGGUGAGAAUCCCGUAUUUGACCAUUAUUUCCAGCUUUGUGAUACACUUUCAAAGAGUCGGAUUGUUUGGGAAUGCAGUCCAAAAUGGGUGGUAAAUUUCAUCUAAAGCUAAAUAUUGGCGAGAGACCGAUAGCGAACAAGUACCGUGAGGGAAGGAUGAAAAGAACUUUGAAAAGAGAGUUAAACAGUACGUGAAAUUGUCAAAAGGGAAGCGUUUGACACCAGUGUUGUUUUCUCGAAAAUCAAUUAAAAAUGGAUUCAUGCUAGGUAGUAUUGACUUCAUCGGCUUGCUGCUUAGUUUUGGUUCUUUUUGAUGCACUUUUCGGUUAACAAGUCAACAUCAAUUUCUUUUGUUGUAAAAGGGUAUGAGGAAGGUGGCUUUCUUUUCGGAGAAAGUGUUUAUAGCCUUGUGCCUCUGCAGUCGGAGAGAUUGAGGUCUGCAGCGUAGAUCCUUCGGGGUUAGAUACGUUUGUGCUAAGUUAUAGCUUUUCAUAGACAACUUGUUGACUAUGUUUAGUCUUGUAGCUUACUCGCUGACGCUAUUUUACCUACGCUUAGGAUGUUGAACUCUAUCACACACAG